UUAUUCAAUUUUAAUUUUAACUCAAAUUACGGUAUUAAAUGGUUUGUGUACACUGUUCGAACCGCUCGGUCACUCAUUUCGUACGCACAUCGAACACGUGGUAAUAUCAUACGUACGGAUGGAAUACCUAUAUCCCGGUCAUGCGAACAUAUUUCAUGGUUUUGCAUUCGGUCACUUUUUUCGCACGAACGGUCACUUUGGGCGCGACAUCAACGGGUGAAAAAAUCGAUAUUUCGAUUCGUCCGUGUUAACAUUGUCGGCCGUUUUACGCGAAUAAUAAUUACGUAGAUCUGCGUUGCAGGUUUGAUUUCGUGGAAUUUCGGCGUCUCUCGUUAUAAUAUUAUUACUAUUAUUAUUAUUAUCUUAUUCGAGCCGAGGGUAUUAUUUCGAGGGAAGCUGCAGCUUAUAUUAAGUACCCUCCUAAUGUAUACACUGCAGAGGUUCUGGGGUACCGAUGUAACUGCGUUUACGUGAAAUCGCGGCUAAUACGCUGCUAAACGUCUCGACUAACUUGAAAUUAAACGGGCGCAUUGUAAUAAAUUAAAUGGUUUUGCAUGAUUUUCGUGUUGGAGUAUUCGUGUCGAAUAUUCACAAACCGGCGGUAGCGCCGCGUUGACGCGCGCACGGUCGCGUUCUAUCGAUUAUUCCAACGGAAUAUAAUUCAAUCGCGAACACGCGGGUACGGAAUAUUCCGGCAGGACGGACUCGGAUUGAAACGGCGAUUGUUGUUUUUUAUGAAGAUCGAAUGUGGGUACCGAAAUGCGCAUU